UAACUCUGAAUGUCAAUGUCGUCUUAGUACUAUAUAAUAGUUAAAACUUUCAACAACGGAUCUCUUGGUUCUGGCAUCGAUGAAGAACGCAGCGAAAUGCGAUAAGUAAUGUGAAUUGCAGAAUUCAGUGAAUCAUCGAAUUUUUGAACGCAUAUUGCGCUCCUUGGUAUUCCGAGGAGCAUGCCUGUUCGAGCGUUAUUACAAUCCUCAAGCCGUGCUUGGUGUUGGGCGUCACUGGCGACAGUGUGCCUUAAAGUCAGUGGCGGUGCUAUUUGGCCCUGAGCGUAUUAAAUUUCUCGCUAUGGGAGCCCGGUAGAUGCCUGCCCUACCCAAAAUUCAAAAGAUUGACCUCGGAUCAGGUAAGGAUACCCGCUGAACUUAAGCAUAGCAAUAAGCGGAGGA
rnacentral:rRNA from 1 species